UACAGAGGGUGCGAGCGUUAAUCGGAAUUACUGGGCGUAAAGCGCGUUCAGGCGGUUUGGCAAGUCGGGCAUGAAAUCUCUCGGCUCAACCGGGAGAGGUUGUCCGAUACUGUUAGACUGGAGGGCAGUAGAGGGUGGUGGAAUUCCGGGUGUAGUGGUGAAAUGCGUAGAGAUCCGGAGGAACACCAGUGGUGAAAGCGGCCACCUGGACUGCACCUGACGCUGAAACGCGAAAGCUAGGGGAGCGAACGGG
rnacentral:rRNA from 1 species